rnacentral:sRNA from 1 species
CCCUCCAAGCCUCUCAGGCGGUUCGCCGCUGGAAUGCUCAAACCGGAGGGU